AUUUUCUUCGUGCCUGGGCGUUCCCAGGUGCCAUGCGAGUAGAUCGGCAACUACUCCAUCCUCCUCUCCCUACCUGGCCAUCGUGCAGCAGCCGUGCUGAGCCUCUGCUGCCCUCUCUCUGGCCACUCGCGUGAGCCUCUGCUGGUCGGCUGUCCGGACACGACGGCUAUGGCCGAGCCCAGCGCGAAGUCAUCCUCCAGGACUGAGCCCCUGUGCAGCCACUACCGCCGGCAGGCCUCGGUGUCCGGUUGUGCUUCGACAAGUCACGCGCCUCCGACAAACCUCGCGCCCGUCGUGUUCUUGCCUCUACGUCAAUCGACACGCAUAGAAUGCGAUCCAUCUCCAAGCUUCGAGGGAUCGAAGAUCAAGCGUUGGCGACCAUGUGAUCAAGCUCUCUGAGUUCUAUGAGGCUGAAGAUCCUGAGCAUCUGU